rnacentral:sRNA from 1 species
UGCCUAAAAUUAUAAAUUUUAUAGGCAUGGUAAACUAAGUCUCGUCAGAGGUAAAAAACCGAUCAUUAGGUUUUGCUCUGACGGGCCAUGUCUGGAAAUGGAUGUGCCCCUAAUGG